AACACAGCCAACCUGGGCCAAGACACGCCUUAGGUUUUACCCGACUCUGGGAGACACUGAAAUGUUCUUCAGUAGAUCAAGCCAAAGGAAGAAUACACUCACAAACCCUCAGAGGCAUGGGACAUUCAGGAACACAGUGAUCUCCGCAACAUUUCAACCUUUUCAAGUAUCCUAACCUUACUUAGGACACAAUUCUACUCAGGUAGAGUCUCUUCAGACACUGAGCAUUUUACCAAAACUCUGCUGAAUGUGUGAGGGUGAGGGCAUUGGGAGAGAGCCUCUCAGCCUCUGAAUGGGUCAAGCUCUCAAAGGCAGGUCAUCGGCAAAAAGCUGCUUCUGGGAACAUUGAUUGCCCCUUACCUCUAGAGUGACAGAGCCACCUUGAGACCACCGCCGAGCAGCUGCCUUCCAAGGCCAGAUGAUCUUUUCCUAGCAGCAUUUAGGGGCAAACAUGGAAGACAAGCAGUUUCUGUCUGGGUGUGUCCAAGGACAGGAGAGCUUUCUCUGAACUCACAUGCCCAGUGGGUAGUGUCCCAACUUGGAAUGAGUUUUGUUCUAACCUGUGGUUCUCCCUCUCUGGCUGUACAUCAGAAUCAUCUGCUGGUGUUUUAAACACAAUAAUGCUAGACCCUCUCCUUAACCAAGUCAAUCCAUCUCUACAGAACAGGUCAGAAGGAUGUUUUUUUAAAAGCUCUCCAGCUAAUUCUAACAUUUUUAAAGUUGAGAACAUUGUUCUAGACCCAGUUAUAAUGCCACAUCUCUAACUGAUAAAUGUGGAGACUGUAGAUUUUGGAGGAAUAGUUCUGAUCUGAGGUGGGAAGAUUGGAGUUACCAGAUGUCAGUAGAUUGCAUGGUAUUAGGAGGGGUUUUGCUUCAAUGCCUCAGUCUCCACAUGUAUGCAAAGGGAUGGGGUGAGUGAAUUAAAGAGAACCCACUUGACAAAAAUUACAAUUCUGAAAAUAAUGCUUUUAAUGACAGUUUAGAUCUUUAAAACAUGCUCAUCAUUAUUACUAUCAAAGAAGCCAAACUUCUAGAAGGGAAGCUGGAAGCACAGAAUUGGAAAGUAGGGUGCAUAUUAUUCCGCAAUAUUGUGUAAUUAAAAACAGACUUGUCUAAAUGGGGUAACGUGGAUAAGUAACAUUUGUAUAAGUUAUCUGCCAUACUGUAAAAGUUUAUACCCAACUUGAAAAUUUCAAAGCCUGAAGUUUCACUUAGGGUAAUAAAAAGUGAUGAUCAGCCAGGUACAUCUGAGUGCUAAGUCCUCGUCAGCAAGAGUCUGACAACCUGCUCCUCAAGGCAAGGAUUCACAUCCACGUUCAAACCAUGAUGAUUAUUCAACUGCGUGAACUGUCAACAAGCUUGAGAGAGCUUAUUUCAUUCCAUACGGAAGCACUUUAACCUUAAUGCAAAGUUCAUGUGCAAAAUGCAUAAUUAAAAAGGAAUGUCAUUUAGGAGAUGAUUAUCUGGGAGCUCAAAUACACCACACAGCAGUUUGCUCACAUACUCCCCCACCCCCCGCCCUUGCCCUGACUCUCGUAUCAAGUGCCCAGCUGGAGAAAACUGAGCUAAUAAUGGCCCAGCUGCAUCAUCUCACAACAUCUUUGUGAUACAAGCAAGGUCAAAUGCUCUAUCAUGGAGUGUUAACAAUAGCAUUGUGCACAGGGUUGGGGGGGCUGGGGGACACUGUCCUGGCUGUAGAGCUGAUCAAGGUCCAGCCUACAGGCCUCUAGGCAGAACUUUGCAAGUUGUAAUUAAUAGCAUUUCUAAGAGCAGCUGAAAAAGAUCAUUCUAGAAAUAAUGCCUAUGUUCAUAAAUGUGUAUCUUUUCAAUAAACAAGUGGUUUCUAUCAUGUAAUUAAAAGCUUGUCAUUACACCAUUUAGUUUUUAAGUCAGUGCCAUUAUUGCAUUUUAUUUAGUUUUAUCCCUUAUGACCAAAAGUUUAUAAACCCAUGCAACUUCCACAUUGGAUAUAAUACCAUAAAACAAUUUUAGAAGAAACUUAAUAUACCAACUGUAACUUUUAUCUGAUGCCCAAUCGAAGUCCGCAACUUAGCUUGAGUUUUAAUAAUUCAGAACACUAACAUCGAGAUCUAGAAGAUGAAGAUGGGCGUUAAGGUGGCAGAUUUCGUCAAGACUGGCUUACAAACCACCACUAAAACAAUAGCAACAAACCACAACAAUUCAGGUGAAUGAAUGCUGUUUCUUAAAUACUCAUUUUAUAGAAAGCCAUUGUCCUUAAUAUGUUUUUUAAAAAGAUAACUAUUUUUAACAGCAUAAAACUUUGCAGGUUUUUACUUUGCUAAAGAGAUAGCAUAUUCUAGAAUAUACCCAUGAAAUGCUAUGCACCUGGUCUUGGUAAGAAAUGAACAUUUAAACCUUAUAUUUGUGUUGAGGGAAUAGUGCUAUAUUUGCUUACUCAUACAAAAAAAAUAUAUCUGGAGGGAUAUGCCAGAGCCCAGUAACAACACUGGUUGCCUAUAGGGAGAAGAGCUGAGUGGCGGAGGGCCAAGAGUGUUAAGGGAGGCUUUUCAUUGUAUACCCUAUACCUUUUGAGUUUUGAAUCCUGUAAAUAUAUCACUUAAUCAGAAAAAUAAUGAUAUUAGGGGAGAAAAAAACGUGGAAAAAUUUUGUGAAAUCAACCAAUUUCAUGGGUUAAAACUCAGGUGUUUCCUCUUUUCACCUAUUCAUUUUUACUAAUCACCAUGAAUAUUACAUAAUAAAAUGUUUUAGCUAAUGAACUAAGGUCCCUAGCGAUAAAACUAGUUGUCUCAAAACAACAAAAAAAAGAAAAGCACAUUUAGACUGUCUACCCAUACAACUCAAAGUCUGAAAAGGGAUCGGAUACUGCUUCUAAAGAUAGCACCACAAUCCAGAGAGAUGAGUUUUGACUUUCUAUGAGAGUCCUGGUGGAUGGGCUGUUGAACAUGGUCCCAUUAUGUGCUGUGCUAUUAUUUUAAGCACAUGAAGGACACAAAUAAAAGGCAUGGGUAUUAGACAGUCUUCUGCCAUGAUUUAUUGCUCUGUCGACUAUUUUAUGCUCCAAAGUGAAUGCUCAAAGGCCCUGAAAUUUCAGAAAUUCUUUGAGUCACUAAAUCGUUGCAUUUUGUGUGCCAUGGUUUCAGGGUGAAUGAAAUAAUUUGAUAAUCUAUUUUUCUAGCUUAUUGUUAGAUAUAUGAAUCAUAUUUUUGGAGAUUUUUGACAACCAGAAUAUCACAUUCCCUCAGAAUGAUACACUUUUACCUUUAAUUAAAAGACAAGUGAUGUUGUUAUGGAUCUAAUUUGUAAAGAAACCAGACAUUUUACCGGUUAAGUUUAAGCUACUUGGGACACCUUUAUAAUAAUGGAGACUUGCACCUGCAGACUCCUCUUGAGCAUUUACUGUCGGGCAGACCAUCAGCUAGACCAGAAAACAGAUAUAAAGGGAAUACCCCUUUGGCCUGAGAGCUCUCGGUGUCUUAGGCAAGACACGUGACUCCAACUGAAGGAGAAACUGGUUAAAGGGGCCCUUGUAGAAGCAGUGCUGACGGGCUUAAUGGCUAGUGACACACCCCCCCACACACACCUCAGGGCUUAGGGGUGGAACAGAUGCAGACCAGGCCCAGACCAGGGAGACCACACACCACAGAGGGAUCCGGGGUCUGAGCUCACUCUGAGAAGAAAAGGCGCCCAAGAGGACAGGGAGUCAGUCCCCCACCUAGGGGUGGGGUGGCCUUGGAACUGGAGCUGGGAAGACCCUUUGGGACAGGGAGAGGUUGGUGCUUCACCCCAGUGCUAAACCUGACAAGGGCCAGGGUAGCUCAAGGCCAAAACAAAUAACCCCAACAUGAGGACUGAAACACAAACAUGUACUCAAGGUUCUGGCGGCUGGACGUUCAGGAUCAAGGCGACAGCAGAGCCGGCUCCGGAGACCUGGCGCGUUGGCUGCAGACAGCUGACCUGCCCACAACUUCCUCCUAAACUCGCCCCCGGGCAAACACCCCUCCUGCCCCUUCUUAUAGGGACACAGUCUUAUCAGACUUGGGCCACUCCCCCUGACCUCAAUUAACCUUAAUUAGCUCCUUAAAGGCACCUCUCCAAAGACAGACCUGUUUGGGGGUCAGGCCUUCAACAUGCAGAUGUUCAGGGAAAUACACAUUUUCAAUCCAUAACAGGGACCAUGAUGGGCUCUUAAGCCCGUGGGAAUGUCAGGGUCUGAACUGUCUGCAGUGUGAAGGAUGUGAGGGAAUAAAGACGAUGGAUGGGCCUUUUAGAAAAGAAAGCAGAAGCCCUUUCCUGACAAAGGUGCAGGCUAUGCCAGUCCUUCUGUGUUCAUCCUCCCUGAUUCCAUGCUGUGGCCUCACUGAAAUCUGUCCUGAAGCUGAGGAGACUUAGGUAAAGGGGACAUAUACAAAAUGCUUAACUAAUUGGAGGUCUUAAAAACCUAUACAGUGGCCUAGGCUGAAGGGGGAGAAGAGACCUUUCUGCAGGUACAUGCUGAGGCAGGCUCCCUGCAGCUGUGACCACAAUGGGCUUAACCCAGGCUCCUAAGGUCUUCUGCCUCUUGCACUGGGGAAGCGGUUCAUUUUUAAAUCCCCACAGAAAUAGAAAAUUGCAUCAAAACCAUUCUGAUGGACCACACUAGCUGGGGUUCAGCAGAAGCAGCUGUAAGUGCUAAGGAUAUGCGUCCAUUAGAUUCCCAUCCAGUGAAUGUAUGUUAUUCACAGAACAUCCAGACUGUGGGGCUGGACCAGACUCGAGAGCCUUGCUUCUUUAGUCAGACGGGGCUGGUUGUGAACAUGGAAUCCUGGCUUCAUUAGCAGCUGUGCCAAGAUAUGUUCUGUUCUGCAGAGAAAACGUUUAUCUCUCAGAGGAUAAAAUGAUAACUAAUUCAUCAGUUUUUUUUUUUUCAAAAAAAAAAAGACUACAUGAACUAAAGCAUGUGGCAUAUUUUCCUGCUCCCCAAAAUAGAGCACAUUUCCGACCCCAAACUUUAAUAAAAUUGUCACCGCAGGUAAGUCUUGUCCCAGAAAAAUGUAAAGGAACAAGUCAGGAGCCUUAUGUUGUAUAAAAUAGCAAGAAUGCCAGGUGCUUAUACUAAUGGGAAUUUGUGGUCAUGGAAGGUUCUAAUGACUAAGAUAGAAUAAAAUCUGAGUGUUCUUUUAUAAUAAAAAUGCUCACAUUCACUAAGUAUUUAAGUUUGGAGGAGGAAAAUCACCAACUCUUGACUGGCCACUCUCACAGAAUUCUCCUAACAGGUGUGAAAUAAACAUUAUGGGGUUUUCUUGGUAAGAAAAGCAUAGGCCAUUGCAUCGUUGAGUGAGUCUUUGAAACUGAGUGUUUCUUGAUUCUACAACCCACCUCCUUUCUACUGUACCAUCCCACCUCCCCAGUGUCCCCAGAAUAGCCUCUAAGCAGCACACCUGGGAGGUGGACUUCUAGCUCUAGAACUUCAUGACUGUUUGAUUCAAGUACACAGGUGAUUUCUGAAAAGCUUAAUCCCCUCAUCUCCAAACCAAGUAGAAGGCACCCAAUGAAGGCUAGCUAUGGGUAUAGUUAUAAUUUCUGUACAUGAUUUAUACAAGCACCAGCAUUCCAAACUCUUUUCUCCCACUUUUAUUGAGAUAUAAUGGAUGUAGCACAUGGUAUAAGUUUAAGAUGUAUAGCACAAUGACUUGACUUACAUAUAUUGUGAAAUUAUUAGUAAGGUUAGUUGACAUCCAUCAUCUCAUACAGAUACAAAAGAGAAAUAAAAAAUGUUUUCCCUAAGAUUUACUCUUACAACAACAUUCAAAUCCAGCAUCCGGCAGGGUUAACUGUAGUCAUGAUGUUGUGUGUUACCCCUAGUCCUUAUUUAUCUCGAAACUAGAGGUUUGUACUUUUUUACCACCUUCAUUCAAACUCCUAAAUAUCUGAACAUGUCUACUUUUCCAAAGCUCAUCAUCAAUUAUUUUAAUAUUAGCACACACUAAUAUUACUAAUAUGGGAGU
rnacentral:lncRNA from 1 species